UAAGCCUUAGUUGAGGGGCCAAUAUAGCUUUGUCGUAGCUAAGACUUUAGGCUUAA
rnacentral:tRNA from 1 species